AGUGGGGAAUAUUGCACAAUGGGCGAAAGCCUGAUGCAGCAACGCCGCGUGAGCGAUGAAGGCCUUCGGGUCGUAAAGCUCUGUCCUCAAGGAAGAUAAUGACGGUACUUGAGGAGGAAGCCCCGGCUAACUACGUGCCAGCAGCCGCGGUAAUACGUAGGGGGCUAGCGUUAUCCGGAAUUACUGGGCGUAAAGGGUGCGUAGGUGGUUUUUCAAGUCAGGAGUGAAAGGCUACGGCUCAACCGUAGUAAGCUCUUGAAACUGUAAAACUUGAGUGCAGGAGAGGAGAGUGGAAUUCCUAGUGUAGCGGUGAAAUGCGUAGAUAUUAGGAGGAACACCAGUUGCGAAGGCGGCUCUCUGGACUGUAACUGACACUGAGGCACGAAAGCGUGGGGAGCAAA
rnacentral:rRNA from 1 species